UACGUAGGGGGCUAGCGUUGUCCGGAUUUAUUGGGCGUAAAGAGCGUGUAGGCGGCCAGGUAGGUCGGUUGUGAAAACUCGAGGCUCAACCUCGAGACGUCGGCGGAAACCAUCUGGCUAGAGUCCGGAAGAGGAGAGUGGAAUUCCUGGUGUAGCGGUGAAAUGCGCAGAUAUCAGGAAGAACACCCGUGGCGAAGGCGGCUCUCUGGGACGGUACUGACGCUGAGACGCGAAAGCGUGGGGAGCGAACAGG
rnacentral:rRNA from 1 species